GAUGAACGCUGACAGAAUGCUUAACACAUGCAAGUCAACUUGAACUUCGGUUUGGGUGGCGGACGGGUGAGUAACGCGUAAAGAACUUGCCUCACAGAUAGGGACAACAUUUGGAAACGAAUGCUAAUACCUGAUAUUAUGAUUAUAUGGCAUCGUAUAAUUAUGAAAGCUAUAUGCGCUGUGGGAGAGCUUUGCGUCCCAUUAGCUAGUUGGAGAGGUAACGGCUCACCAAGGCGAUGAUGGGUAGCCGGCCUGAGAGGGUGAUCGGCCACAAGGGGACUGAGACACGGCCCUUACUCCUACGGGAGGCAACAGUGGGGAAUAUUGGACAAUGGACCAAGAGUCUGAUCCAGCAAUUCUGUGUGCACGAUGAAGUUUUUCGGAAUGUAAAGGGCUUUCAGUUGGGAAGAAAAAAAUGACGGUACCAACAGAAGAAGUGACGGCUAAAUACGUG
rnacentral:rRNA from 1 species